GAUGAACGCUGGCGGCGUGCCUAAUACAUGCAAGUCGAGCGAACAGAUGAGGAGCUUGCUCCUCUGACGUUAGCGGCGGACGGGUGAGUAACACGUGGAUAACCUACCUAUAAGACUGAGAUAACUUCGGGAAACCGGAGCUAAUACCGGAUAAUAUAUUGAACCGCAUGGUUCAAUAGUGAAAGACGGUUUUGCUGUCACUUAUAGAUGGAUCCGCGCCGCAUUAGCUAGUUGGUAAGGUAACGGCUUACCAAGGCGACGAUGCGUAGCCGACCUGAGAGGAUGAUCAGCCACACUGGAACUGAGACACGGUCCAGACUCCUACGGGAGGCAGCAGUAGGGAAUCUUGCGCAAUGGGCGAAAGCCUGACGCAGCAACGCCGCGUGAGUGAGGAAGGUCUUCGGAUCGUAAAACUCUGUUAGUAGGGAGGAACAACAGUGUAAGUAAAUAUGCACGUCUUGACGGUACCUAAUCAAAAAGCCACGGCUAACUACGUG
rnacentral:rRNA from 1 species